rnacentral:lncRNA from 1 species
AACUCGAUUCGCUUGAAAUGAACUCUCAAUGAUUAAUGUACCUGGAAUAAAAAUAAAGCUACAUGGGUAUACCUCAAUGAAGUCAGAGGAACACACACAAUAUAAAUUUUAAGAAGUUGACUCUGAGGAUGCCAUUUUUUUUUUUUUUGAGCAUGUCGUUCUACAUACUAUUCAGUAUAUUGAGAUAUACUGGUAUUAUCCUGGAUAAAUAGACCAUUUAUACUCAGUCUCUGUAAAACUCUAGAUUCACUAUCGUGAAUUCCAGUGUCCACUAUGUAGUUUUUUGCUAAAACUGACAACAGCAUGACUCCGACAUGCUUUUAUCUAGUUCAUUUUAUAAGCACAUACAGAAGGACAGUUAAAUCUGAGCUGCAUAUCUGGAUUUUAAUGACAUGCCAGAAUCAAGCUUGCCUUGUAAUUUUCUAAAGCAAGAAAAAUUAUAAAGAAAUCAGAAAAAAAUGCUAUUAGUUCUGAUGGGGUGUAUGGGAGAAGAUCAAGAAGCAGAAAAUAUUUCAAAGAAGACAGAUUCCUUCCUUCUAAAGAGUAGAAAUCAACAAACCCUUAUUUAACAUCUUCUCAUCUCUGAAAUUUUAUGUUAUCAGAAAGGUAAAAAGCUGUCUAAGGGAAAGCAUUCAAGUCUACAUAGUUUGUUUAUAAAAUACAGGACUAUUAAGUAGUACCAAUUAUGGUAAGACACUGAAAUGUUUUUGCUUUGCUUCUUUCACAUGUGGGAUACAUGGAUAUCUGAUUAUGAAAGUGUGUGCUCCAUGCGUAUAUACGUUCUAUGUGCUGAAUUUCCAAUUCACAUCCUAUAGCAAUGAUUUUUUUAUAUGUAUAUAUGGUUCAUUACUCAUCCAUUUUAACAACAUAGAAUUUUGUGGUUAUAGCCUCUGCACAUUAGUAAUAAAAACCUCACAUGCAAAUAAUAUUAAAAUAUAAGAUAAUGUUAAAUAAUUAUAUCCUUUCUCUCACCAUAUAUUCCCAUAUGUAGCCCUAUAGCCUAGUACAGUCCUAGGUAUUCAAUCGUAUAUGUUUAAGAAAAAUAAGUGAAGGAGUAAAAUAAAAUUUGGAUUGCUUUCAAGACAUAUAAGUUUUGCAUAACUUAGAGUGACUAGAAUGAUAGUGUAUGUUUGGUACAUUCAACUCAGGAUUUAUUAUGCACUUUUUUUCAGAAUCCUUUUUACUUUAAGGGAUGAUUUUCUUUUAAUAAUUAUACUACAAAACCUGAGGUAUAUAACACUUCUCCAUCAAAAAUGGAAUUGGUACAAAAGGGGAAGAGGCAUUGAGAAAGUCCCAAGUCAUUGUAAAAGGACCUUCCCCAAUUGAAAAGCACUAAAUUACUGAAUAUGUACAUUUACAACUGUUUCCUUUGCCCUCAUUACAUUUUCUUGAAAUAAAACCAAAGUGGCCUCAAUUCACAAUAUAACUGAAUACUAAAACACUCAAUAUAGGAUAAAAUGUAUACCUAGCACAAAAUUUUUUAUUGCUUUUCAUAAUUGCUUUAAAUAUAUUCACGAUUGGGUAGAAAAAUGACUGCCUUAAAGGAUAUUCUUUUGUGAGUCAGAAAAAGUGAUUAUUUAUUAAUGAGAUGCAAAUCCUACAAAAAGUUAAUCAGAAAAAAUAUAAACUACAAUUAACCCUUGAACAAGAGCUUGAAAUGUGUGAAUCCACCUAUAUGUGGAUUUUUCUGUAAUAAUGCCCCAGUGUUAUAUACAUCAGUAGCUGGUUGAAUCUGUGAAUGCAGAACCUGGGAUACGGAAGACCAACUAUUAGUUAUACAAAGGUGUUUGACUGCAUGGAGGGUUGGAGCAACCAAGCCCUGCUUGUUCAAGACUCAAAUGUAGUAUAAUUUUUGCAAAUUAAACCAUAUUAAAAAUAUAAAAUUGUUCUUAAUUUGUUAGGAAUACUCAGUGACUCUUUGGUCUUCUUUGGCCACAGUGACUCCUUAUUCCCCACUUUUGAUGUUUACUCCAGCAUGAAGAUACAUCAAUUUAUGUAUCUAUGUCUUUUCCUCAUCUUUUUAGUCAUGCUCCCUUAGGGGCAGCAUGACUCUCUUGAUUGGUGAAUUUGGAAGGAGUACUUUGCAGUGUACAGCCAAGACUUUCAGGGGAAACCUAGUUAUAUAAAUACGUUAUCCUGGGGUUUGGAUUUAGUAAGCAUAAUUUCUGGUAUAUGUAAGCCAGUUUCUCUGUUAUCAGCUUUGCAAUAUUUCUGUGCACACCUGCAUUUUGGUUUGCUUUGUUUGUUUGAAGUAGUUUAGCAUGAAGCAGAAAAGAGAAUAAAUAAUGGACUCCUUAGCUACAACAAAAUGUUUUUUCAAAACUUAGAAAUUGAUUUUUAUUGUACAUCCUAAAGGCCAUCUGUAUGUCUUCUUUGGAAAAACGUCUAUUUAGAUCUUUUGCCCAGUCUUUUGAUUAGGUUGUUUGUUAUAUCAAUGAUGAGUUGUAUGAAUUGUUUUUAUAUUUGGAUAGUAUCUUGUUGAAGAUUUUUGCAUUUGUGUUCAUCAGAGAUUUGGGCAUAUAGGUUUUGGGGGGUUUUUGUUUGUUUGUUUGUAGUGGUUUUGGCUUUGGUAUCAGGGUAAUUCUGUCCUCAUAAAAGUUAGAAAGUGUUUCCUACUUUUCAAUUAUUUGGGAGAUUUUGAAAAUCAGCAUUAAUUCUGUAUGUGUUUGAUAUAGUUCACCAGUGAAACCAUCUGAUUUGGGGCUUCCUUGUUGGGAGUAGGAGUUAUUAAAAACAGAGAUAAAGAAGCUUUUAUUUCAAUAUUUUAAUCAGAAUACUUUUACCCCAAAAAAUUAGCAAAAUGACUUUGAUGGGAUUUGUACAUAUUUUCACAUGUUCAUCAAACUUUUAUAAAAAUUCUUUCUUUGGUUUCAAGGGGCAUAUAUGUAUGAGUACACACACGUGCACACACACACACACACACACAUCUCUAGCUGUCUUAAUACUCCUCACUGGAUUGAUAUAGGUAAAUGUAGUUUACCUUUAUUCACCUUCUGCUUUUACAUAUCACCAAGCCACUAUCCCUUUAUCGUAAAGAGUAACUACAUGAUGACAUAUAUUCUCAUUGUAAUAUUGUCUGGAAGAACUGAUAGAAAGUCUUGCAAAGCAUACACAGCAAAUGCUGACAGAAUAUCUUUUAUAUUCCAGGCACAUGAUAUGCUUUCUAUAUAUAUCAGCUGAAUUAAUGAAUAAGUAAACUAAAAGCAUUUUUAAAACUAUGAGGUUUUAUGGACACUUACGUAUAAAAUGAAAGGAAUUCAUUUCAUUAAUAGUUUGAAAAACCUAAUAGUAAAGACAAUAGAAGGUGCUAUGCUAUUUUUUCAUUUUCAGUUUUGUUCCAAAAUUAUUCAAUACUAUGAUAUCUUCUAUUUUGAUGUUUAUAUAUUACUGAAUUUGAAUCUGGGGGAUGUUUAGUUAAGCUAAAAUCUUCAUGUCACUAGAAUUUUCCCCCAAAUCAGAAGAAUGAAGUAAGGUUCACAGCAAUGUUGCUCCAUAAUAGUUUUAUAUUUUUUGUUAAUUAAUUUCAACUGUUUAAAGUUUAUUGCUUUCCACUUGAAGAUUAGUAGUUUUACAAAUGGAAUUCUAUACUUGCAACUUUUUGGAUAUAUGCUACCUUAUUUGGUCUGUAGUGUGAUUAUGUAUUUAUUUAUUUGGCUAAAUAGAAAUCCUUCGUAAUAAUCAUUUAAUCCUCACUAUAAUCCUAUAAGACAGACACUGUUAAAAUCCCCAUUGUAUCUUAGAGAAAUAGAGGCACGUAAGAGAUUAAUAAGUUUCCAUACAUAACACAAUAAUAAAUUUUAAAGGAAGGUUAUGAAUCCAUGCAGUGUAGCUCUGGAGUCUGUGAUCUUAACAAAUUGGAAUACUGCCUCUCUAAAAGGCCUUUAUAAAUAAAUGGUCAUGAUCACGGGUGAAUGAUGAUUCCCAUCAUCUUCCUUGCCAGUCACUUUGUGGCCCCCUUUGCUACUACAUAGUAGAUAAUGAGGGCAUAUUUAUUUCUAGAUAAAGUGAGGAAUUUUAAUAUUUCAUCAUUCAUGUUAUUCAGGCUAUAUUUGUUUGUGUACUUUUUACUAGCUCAUUCACUAAGUACCUCCUAUGUGUUGGUUUCUGUGCUAUGCAUUGAGCAAAACCAAGAAGUUUCCUGAGUCUGAUUUGCUGAAGAGUGAAGAAGAAUUAAGGUACAUACAAAUAAUUAGUUAUUUGUUAUUAAAAGCUAAACAAAAUUAAAAAAAAACACGAUAUGUGAAGUUUCAUUCCAUAUGGUGCAGGAACAGCAACAUUUGUGAGAUGUGUCUGAUGUGGUGACCUUCAUUCUGAUUCUCUAUCAGUCAUGAAACACAUGUUAUGGAGCACUCACUCUCCAGUCACUGUGUCAGGUGUGGAAAUGAUACAACACAACAAAUGACAAAUAUAUCCGCUACUUCCAUUGAAUCUAAAUCAACCAACCAUCUCCAUUACCUAUCACCCUUUCAUUCUCCACUUCCCAGUGCUCUUUCUGACAUCCCUCAGGCAGGUACUAUUUCUACUUGCUUCAAUACAAACACAGUUGCCAUGCAAACACCUACACAUACACACACACAUUCAAAGUUUAUGAAUCACUCAUCAGAUAAUGCAAUUAAUUUGAUUGUGCUAGUAAGAAAU